rnacentral:rRNA from 1 species
AGAGUUUGAUUCUGGCUCAGGACGAACGCUGGCGGCGUGCUUAACACAUGCAAGUCGAGCGGUAAGGCCCUUUCGGGGGUACACGAGCGGCGAACGGGUGAGUAACACGUGGGUGACCUGCCCUCAGCUCUGGGAUAAGCCUGGGAAACUGGGUCUAAUACCGGAUAUGACUCCAUGACGCAUGUUGUGGGGUGGAAAGCCUUGUGCGGCUGAGGAUGGGCCCGCGGCCUAUCAGCUUGUUGGUGGGGUGAUGGCCUACCAAGGCGACGACGGGUAGCCGGCCUGAGAGGGCGACCGGCCACACUGGGACUGAGACACGGCCCAGACUCCUACGGGAGGCAGCAGUGGGGAAUCUUGCGCAAUGGGCGAAAGCCUGACGCAGCGACGCCGCGUGAGGGAUGACGGCCUUCGGGUUGUAAACCUCUUUCAGCUCCGACGAAGCGAGAGUGACGGUAGGAGCAGAGGAAGCACCGGCCAACUACGUGCCAGCAGCCGCGGUAAU